UACGUAGGUGGCAAGCGUUGUCCGGAUUUAUUGGGUUUAAAGGGUGCGUAGGCGGCCCUGUAAGUCAGUGCUGAAAUAUCCCAGCUUAACUGGGAGGGUGGCAUUGAUACUGCGGGGCUAGAGUACAGAUGAGGUAGGCGGAAUUGACGGUGUAGCGGUGAAAUGCGUAGAGAUCGGGAGGAACAUCCGUGGCGAAGGCGGCCAUCUGGAUCAACACUGACGCUGAGGCACGAAAGCGUGGGAGCAAACAGG
rnacentral:rRNA from 1 species